GUGCUCGCUCUGGCAGCACAUAUACGAAGACUGAAACAAUACAGAGAAGAUUACCGUGGUCUCUGCACAAAGAUGACACGCAAAUUCGCGAAGUGUUCCAUAUAUUU
ensembl:snRNA U6 U6 spliceosomal RNA